UGAUUGAUGAUUGAUGAUUGAUAUUGAUGGCAAAUUCGCGUAGGAUCGGGCAGGUUCUGAAGAUUGAAGAUAGGUUCACAGUAUCCUAUUCGGAUUAGAAAGCUCUCCCUAAUCAGACUUGAAUUCGAAUUCAAAAUCAGAUGAUGCCUCUAUAUAUAAACAGGGGUGUUGGGUGUUGACAUAUCGAACGACAAAAGCAAUGGCUGGUGCUUUUGAUUCAGAACACCUCUUGGCAGAAAUCCUGAAAAGACUACCUCCAAAAUCUCUAGCACAAUGCACUUGUGUGGAGAAAUCAUGGUAUGAUCUUAUACAAUCUCCUUAUUUCAAAGCUCUGUACUCUGAUUCUAACCAAUUUAUUUAUAUGCUUGCAAAACUAUUUCAUAGGGGCUUUGCUUUAUAUAGAAUGGAUCCACUACUUCACCCGCGAUUUAGUAGCAAUAGUUGUAGCUCCGACUCUACUUAUCUUCAUGACUUGCGUCCUCUUCUUGUUUUCCCCACAGAUUCGCAUUUAGGAGACAAUUAUUUCAAGUGCAUAAAAUUAGGUUCCAAGAUAUAUUUCUAUGGACUUGCGUUGUCGUCGGGUAAUAAAUACACUAGCUUUUAUACCAUGGAAGAAAAGGAUCUUAUGAGUAUAGAACCUAGUGAAGACAAUGUCAUUACGAAUUUUAAACAUCUUUUAACUAAAAUUAAAAAUCCCAUGCAUGAGUUGAAGCUUUUUCCGAUUGUUUUUGUUGCCAAUGACAAACUCUAUGUUCUAUCUGGGUGCUUUCUCGAUAACAUAUUUGAAGUCUUUUCUCCUGCUGACGGGACUUGGCAAGUGUUGCCCAAUCCAGAAGAUGAUGCAUUAGAGUUUCAUUAUUAUGCUGAUGGGGUUUCUUAUCUUGUCAUGGAACAAGAGCAAAUAGUCUAUUUUGCUACUCCCUCCGUCUCUAAAUACUUUUCUUGUUUGUACUUUUCACGUUUGCCAACACACACUUUUAAUCGUUAAUAUCUUUCAUUUCGUAGUAGCAUUAAAUAUAAAAACUUCAUUGUAUUAAAGUACUUGUGAAUACGAAUCUAACAAGAUCACUCAUGACUAUAUUUAGUUUUAUAAAUUAGAUGUAAAUUAGUGAUUUGUCUCAUGUUAUGAACAGUACCGACAUCACAAACAGGAAAAGAAAAAAGAAACGGAGGGAGUACUACUAGACUACUCUCGUCCUUCAAUCUACAAACACGUCCUUCAAUCUACAAACACAUCAAUGGGCCAUACACACAUAUUUUAAUAGUAUAACUCCUGCACCUUUUACAUUCGGUCAACAAAAAUUUCGUUACAUAUGUAAUCCAAUAAUCGGUAAAUUGGCUUUUGGUAUACUCCCCGAUCAGCGUGUUAGUUAUGUCUGUGCAUCAAAGAUGACCUCCCGUGGUGAAGAAUUUAUGCAACCAUACUUGGCACCUGACGAAGCCUUCCUGGAAGUGUUACGAUAUUCUAGGUUCACCUACAUGUUCAAACAGUGUUCCACCGACUACAUUGUUGCGUUUCAGGACUCUGAUGGCAAGCAACAACUCUGUAUUAUAACCUACGGCUGCAGGCCACUUGAGAAGAGGUUUUCUCCUUAUGAAACAACCUGCUAUGUCGCCUUAAGCUUUUAUGACAUCCCAGGUGAUUUUUAUACCUCAGAAGACCGACAUUUCCACGAACCUGAUGUUUAUGCUUCCUAUGCAGAUGAGAAGACAAAAGAUGGUGGCGUGAUCAGGAGCCCACUGCCCGCAGGAUGCUGCCCUUGUGGAGACAAAGAAAGGCCUCCAUGCUAGGCCAGCAGAAAACUUGAUUGGUUUACGGAAAAAAGUUACACAUUUGCAGAUAAAUGAUUUGCUGAUAUGGAAAAUGAUAUGCGGGUGCAGAUAGGCUCGACCAUUUGCAUCCUUGUAUGCUUUUGGGUUGCACUGUAUAAAAUUUCGUUGUUUGCGGUCUCAGCCAUGGUCUAAAUGAGUUCCUCGCUGGGGAGACUCAUAUUAAUUUACGCCAUACAAUUCCUUGGCUUUCUAACACACCAGAUGAAUUAAAUCACCAGCAUGAUUGAACAACAGGAUGUAAGCACUCAAAAUGAAAUUCUAUUUGUUUGUAAUUCCCAACCAAAUCGCAAUAUGGAAUGUAAAGGAGAUGAUACAAAUGCUUACAGUUUAUUAAAAUUAUUCAUUUUCAUAAAAGCAAUAUAAUCUUGUGGUGAUUGAAUUACUGUG